GGGGUUGUAGCUCAGAUGGUAGAGCGCCCGCUUCGCAUGCGCGGGAGGUACAGGGAUCGAUACCCUGCUGCUCCA